AAUCUUCCGCAAUGGACGAAAGUCUGUCGGAGCAACGUCGCGUGAGUGAUGAAGGUCUNCGGAGCNUNAAACUCUGUUGUUAGGGNAGAACAAGUAUCGUUCGAACAGGCCGGUACCUUGACGGUACCUAACCAGAAAGCCACGGCUAACUACGUGCCAGCAGCCUCGGUAAUACGUAGGUGGCAAGCGUUAUCCGGAUUUAUUGGGCGUAAAGCGCGCGCAGGCGGUUUCUUAAGUCAGAUGUGAAAGCCCACGGCUCAACCGUGGAGGGUGAUUGGAAACUGGGAAGCUUGAGUGCAGAAGAGGAGAGUGGAAUUCCAUGUGUAGCGGUGAAAUGCGUAGAGAUAUGGAGGAACACCAGUGGCGAAGGCGACUCUCUGGUCUGCAACUGACGCUGAGGCGCGAAAGCGUGGGGAGCAAACA
rnacentral:rRNA from 1 species